rnacentral:lncRNA from 1 species
UUUUAAAUAAUUUUUUUAAAAGCUGCUAUUUUGGAAAGUUUUCAUUUUCUUGAGAAAUACUGUAGAUUUUGGUUUGUGAUUUAGAAAUUAUGAUAACAAGAAUUUUUGUGGACAGAUGAGUAUUCUUUCAGAAUUUUUCAUCAAUAUAUUGUAUUUUAAAAUAAUUUUCUUAAAAGCUGCUAUUUUUGGAAAGUUUUCAUUUUUUUGAGAAAUACUGUAGAUUUGGGUUUGUGAUUUAGAAAUUAGGAUAACAAGAAUAUUUGUGGAUAUAUGAGUAUUAUUUCAGAAUUUUUAUCAAUAUAUUGUAUUUUAAAAUAAUUUUCUUAAAAGCUGCUAUUUU